rnacentral:rRNA from 1 species
GCGGAAUUCGUGGUGUAGCGGUGAAAUGCUUAGAUAUCACGAAGAACUCCGAUUGCGAAGGCAGCACACUAAUCCGUAACUGACGUUCAUGCUCGAAAGUGUGGGUAUCAAACAGGAUUAGAUACCCUGGUAGUCCACACGGUAAACGAUGGAUACUCGCUGUUGGCGAUAUACUGUCAGCGGCUUAGCGAAAGCGUUAAGUAUCCCACCUGGGGAGUACGCCGGCAACGGUGAAACUCAAAGGAAUUGACGGGGGCCCGCACAAGCGGAGGAACAUGUGGUUUAAUUCGAUGAUACGCGAGGAACCUUACCCGGGCUUAAAUUGCAAAGGAAUAAUCUGGAAACAGAUUAGUCUUCGGACCUUUGUGAAGGUGCUGCAUGGUUGUCGUCAGCUCGUGCCGUGAGGUGUCGGCUUAAGUGCCAUAACGAGCGCAACCCUCGCCGCCAGUUACUAGCAGGUAAUGCUGAGGACUCUGGCGGGACUGCCAUCGUAAGAUGUGAGGAAGGUGGGGAUGACGUCAAAUCAGCACGGCCCUUACGUCCGGGGCUACACACGUGUUACAAUGGGCGGUACAGAAGGCAGCUACCUGGCGACAGGAUGCCAAUCCCUAAAGCCGCUCUCAGUUCGGACUGGAGUCUGCAACCCGACUCCACGAAGCUGGAUUCGCUAGUAAUCGCGCAUCAGCCACGGCGCGGUGAAUACGUUCCCGGGCCUUGUACACACCGCCCGUCAAGCCAUGAAAGCCGGGGGUACCUGAAGUGCGUAACCGCAAGGAGCGCCCUAGGGUAAAACUGGUGAUUGGGGCUAAGUCGUAACAAGGUAGCCGUACCGGAAGGUGCGGCUG